rnacentral:lncRNA from 1 species
GCUGAUGGAAACUAUUGGAAAUCUCAAUCCUUUGUUCCCUAUAAGCUAAGCUUGAGCUUCCUUUUCUUGCUUCCUUUACUUGUAGGUAAGAACCUCUGAAUGAGGAUUGACAUUAACAUUGUACUUCGCUAUUGAACAUCUUUCAUAUAAUACUUAAUUUUACCUUAGCAGUUGGUGGGGUGUUUAAUUUAAUCAAUUAAUUUUUUGUCCAAAGAUCUAAAAAUCAAGAAAUUAAGUUUCUUAAUUUUUAGGCUGAAUCAAGAAAGUAAGAAAUUUAACCAAGAAAUUCAGACUAAUUUUUAGGUUAAAACUGAAUUUAAAUUCAAACUUUUUGAGAUUAAUUUAAAAAAAAAUAAAAAUGAACUAAAUUAAACUUUGUAGACAGUGCAAUUAAAUAUUUAACUGAUGUAUGCUAGAUUGAAAGCAAAGUGCAAGUAAAGGAGAUCCGAGUGUUGCUCAAAGCUGGUGGAAUGACGAACAAAGCAAUAGCUGGUCCGGCGGGAUUGCAGAUCUUCGAUUAAGCGGCCGACGAGAUGGUGUGCCGUUGCUCAAAGCUGAUAUUCAAGGUGUUGCUUGGCCAAGGCUUGUAAAAGAGAUGCGAGUGUUGACCAAAACUCCUCCAAGCUUUUGUAUAUGAGAGGGGGACUGAUCAUCAACGAAGGAUUUUUAACGUGCAGUGGUGGAUUUUCCAUUUUCACACAGCAAAUAAGCUUAUUUGCUAGUUUCUUAAGUUUCAUUAAAAAAAUAAAAUUAAAAAAAAAGAAAAGAAAUCAUCUUUAUAUCUAUAUAGCUCUAAUGUGAAA